rnacentral:piRNA from 1 species
UGGGACCCCCCUUUUGCAUUUUGGUGUCUGU